GCGGACCGGAAUCCACUCCGCGUUUUCCGAGGAGCGCGGCGUUCCGGCCCUCUCGUAAGGGGGCGUAGCAGGAAGCCGCCACUUCCGGCUCUAGAUUCGGCCCUCCCGGGUUUCCGGCGCCGGGCGCUGGAAGUAUGGAAGAAAAAGGAACAAGGAGGAAAAUGACACAAUGAAGAAAUACUUGGCCAAAUACAGAAUGUGGAAAGUUAUACAGGACAAGUGACAAGCCACUAGCAUGGGGGCGGGUGGUGUGUGGGGCAAUUAUAGAAUAAUGGAGACUUAAGAGACAAAACUGUUAUGGACUCAAUAUCUGUGGUACCCCCCGCCCAAGUUCAUUUGUUAAAGCCUUAACCCGCAAUGUGACUAUACUGUUGGCCCUUGAACAGCACAGGUUUGAACUGCGAGGGUCCACUUAUAGGCAGGGGUUUUUUACAGUACAGUCCUACAAAUAUAUUUUCUUCUCCUACGAUUAAUUUUUUAAAUAACACUUUCUUUUCUCUAGCUUACUUUAUUAUAAAAAUACAGUAUGUAAUAUAUACAACAUAUAAAAUAUGUGUUAAUCAACUGUUUAUGUUAUGGGUAAGGUUUCUUGUCAACAGUAGGCUAUAAGUGGUUAAGUUUUGGGGGAGUCACGUGUAUGCAGAUUUUCGACUGCUGGGGGUGGGUCAGCGCCUAUAACCGCCUCCCUGCCCCCCACACCCGCCCACACACACACAGUUGUUCAAGGGUCAACUGUAUUUGGAGAUAGGGGCUGUGAAGAGGUGAUCAUGGUCAAAUGAGAUAAUUAACACAGGGCUCUACCUGAUAUGCUGGUGUCCUUUUAAGAAGAGGAAGAAACACCAGAGUUCCCUCUCUCUCCUCCAUGUGAGAACACAGCCAGAAGUGGCCAUGUGCGACUACAAGGGUGGAGCUCUCUCAUCAGACACCAACCCUGCUAGCAUCUUGAUCUUAGACUUGACCUAGGAUUUCUAGCCUCCAGAGCUGUGAGAAAAUAAAUUUAAGACACCCAGUCUAUGAUAUUUUGUUAUGGUAACCCAAGCAGAUGCAAAAACCAAAUGUAAUAUAUAGAGAGACCUGUUUUCGAUCCUGAUUCAAGCAAAUCUACUGUAAAAUAACAUCACUGAGAAAUUGGGAAAAUUUUAAUAUGGGCUAGGAAUUAAGUGAUAUUAAAGAAUUAUUGUUUGUUA